AACGAACGCUGGCGGCAGGCUUAACACAUGCAAGUCGAGCGCACCGCAAGGUGAGCGGCAGACGGGUGAGUAACGCGUGGGAAUCUACCCAACCCUACGGAAUAACCCAGGGAAACUUGGACUAAUACCGUAUACGCCCUUUUGGGGAAAGAUUUAUCGGGGAUGGAUGAGCCCGCGUUGGAUUAGCUAGUUGGUGGGGUAAAGGCCUACCAAGGCGACGAUCCAUAGCUGGUCUGAGAGGAUGAUCAGCCACAUUGGGACUGAGACACGGCCCAAACUCCUCCGGGAGGCAGCAGUGGGGAAUAUUGGAAAAUGGGCGCAAGCCUGAUCCAGCCAUGCCGCGUGAGUGAUGAAGGCCUUAGGGUUGUAAAGCUCUUUCAGUAGGGAAGAUAAUGACGGUACCUACAGAAGAAGCCCCGGCUAACUUCGUG
rnacentral:rRNA from 1 species